rnacentral:misc_RNA from 1 species
GUUUCCGUAGGUGAACCUGCGGAAGGAUCAUUAAUGAGUUGUCAUGGGGUUCGAUGCUGGCAGCCAAUUUUUGGAUGCAUGUGCUUGCCCUAACAAUCAUCUUCCAAACACCUGUGCACAUUUUUGAGGGAGUCUUGAGUUGGUUGCCGCUCUUGGGUGAUUUUCUCACAUUCCCUUAAAUCAUUAUACGCUAUUAACAAUGUUGAACGUGCUCUGUGCCGCAAGGCUAUUAAUAUAAUACAACUUUUAACAACGGAUCUCUUGGCUCUC